rnacentral:rRNA from 1 species
AUUGAACGCUGGCGGCAUGCUUUACACAUGCAAGUCGAACAGUAACAGGCCGCAAGGUGCUGACGAGUGGCGAACGGGUGAGUAAUGCAUCGGAACGUGCCCAGUCGUGGGGGAUAACUACUCGAAAGAGUAGCUAAUACCGCAUACGAUCUAUGGAUGAAAGCGGGGGACCGUAAGGCCUCGCGCGAUUGGAGCGGCCGAUGUCAGAUUAGGUAGUUGGUGGGGUAAAGGCUCACCAAGCCAACGAUCUGUAGCUGGUCUGAGAGGACGACCAGCCACACUGGGACUGAGACACGGCCCAGACUCCUACGGGAGGCAGCAGUGGGGAAUUUUGGACAAAGGGCGCAAGCCUGAUCCAGCAAUGCCGCGUGCAGGAAGAAGGCCUUCGGGUUGUAAACUGCUUUUGUACGGAACGAAACGGCUCUGGUUAAUACCCGGGGCUAAUGACGGUACCGUAAGAAUAAGCACCGGCUAACUACGUG